AAAAACCUCAGACAGAAAAAAAGAAAUGAAAGCCAGUCUGAAGAAACGGUUACAUUAUUUUCUACAACGGCAAUUUCAGAAGUUGUUUUUCUUUGUGCAGAGAUAUGGAUAUGAGAGGCAUUCUUCCACAGAAGAAGCUUAACCACUUUGGUCCUUGAGAUCUUUGCUUGAUCAAAACUUCUACAAGAGUGCUGGCAUGCUGGAGUCAGCUAGAAUUGGAUUGCCAGAGCCUGUUGUGUGCACCUGUGCCCAACUCUGUCCAGCGACCUCAGCCUCCUUUCACAGAGGCUGAAUUUCAAUCAGCUGCUACCAGUUGACAAUGAUAAAAUUAUCUCUAUAUGGGCAAAUGCGUGCUCUUUAUUGAAAAAGAAAGCUUCAGCUUCAUGUUCCAGGUGAGUUAAUUACGCAAUGUAUGAAUGCUAAUAUCUCUU
rnacentral:lncRNA from 1 species